rnacentral:rRNA from 1 species
GACGAACGCUGGCGGCGUGCUUAACACAUGCAAGUCGAACGGAAAGGCCCUGCUUUUGUGGGGUGCUCGAGUGGCGAACGGGUGAGUAACACGUGAGUAACCUGCCCUUGACUGUGGGAUAACUUCAGGAAACUGGGGCUAAUACCGGAUAGGAGCUCCUGCUGCAUGGUGGGGGUUGGAAAGUUUCGGCGGUUGGGGAUGGACUCGCGGCUUAUCAGCUUGUUGGUGGGGUAGUGGCUUACCAAGGCUUUGACGGGUAGCCGGCCUGAGAGGGUGACCGGCGACAUUGGGACUGAGAUACGGCCCAGACUCCUACGUGAGGCAGCAGUGGGGAAUAUUGCACAAUGGGCGGAAGCCUGAUGCAGCAACGCCGCGUGCGGGAUGACGGCCUUCGGGUUGUAAACCGCUUUCGCCUGUGACGAAGCGUGAGUGACGGUAAUGGGUAAAGAAGCACCGGCUAACUACGUG